UCCUCAAAAUCACUUUCAACUGAAUACCGGAAGAAUUGCGUUUCAUUGAAGUAGUUCGUUAUAAAACACAUCUCAACCAAUCGUGUUCCAUCACCAUAGAAAGUUCCAUCGCACAACACCUAAACCUUCACUCCUGUUGAGUAGUUUCCAACCAGCCGGCUAGUCACUGCUGUACCACCGGUUGGGUGUACACCGGCGCCUUCAGGUUCGAUCACUCGGAAGCCCAAAACCGUUGGUUUCGUUCGGAUCUAUUUGGCCGUUAAGCCACCGCACACCUUCCGGUUCGAUCAACUGCGGCCGCUGCCGUAAAUUCUUUCUCGUCUCUGUGUGAGCCAGCCGCCAAAUCAUUGUUCUAUUGUCGUCAAUCCGUAGCCGUAAACCAUUGAUUCCUCAUCUGUAUCGCUUAGUUAUUAAGGUUCUCGUAUUUUUCAAGAGAGACACUAGGGUGGCAUACACUAGUUGAAAUCUACGAUUAUUGUUAUCCGCUAAUUAAGGUACUCAGGGGAACUUGGGGAAAAGUGCGAAGAGAGAAAACUAAAUGGCUAGAUUUGGAAAUAAGGAGUAUAAAUAAAUUGCUAUUUAAAUUUUAGACAUUUUUUUUAUUUUCAUUAAAAUACGUUGUGUGGUUUUAAAUUUUUAAACCUUUGGAGUUAAUGUUUUAUUUGAGUUAAGUUUUGAAAAGUCUCUGAUUACUGUAUUGGGUGACACGUUAGCCCUAUUCGGGCUGGGGUGUUACAAGAAGGCUCUUGGUGAUCAAAACCCUUAAGCUGAGGGUGCUGGUACUAGUCAUCAAGAUUGAAGGUUUCUGGCUUGCAUGUCGUGUAUAGGCCUGAUGGCCUUGUAAUCGUUCGACAAUUCCCUUGAACAAUUUACCUGUCUUUCAUGCUUUGUCAA